AACGCAAAUUGCACUCUCGGGUAUUCCUGGGAGUAUACUUCUUUCAGUAUCGGUUCUAUCCAAACUCGACUGCGUUUCGGCGUGGUCGGAUUAUGAGCGCCACACUGAUCAAAAGGUGUGCUGCUUGAAAGAAAGAGGAGCGUUCAGCUUCUCGGUUCAGGUCUCGGUGGGUUCCCUUUUCUUCUCCCUUGCGGGAGAAGCGGAGAGGCACACUGAGUGACGUGGUUAAGUCCGCCUUGUGCGACACUCCCGUCAUUCACCAUAGUGAGCCUCUUUUCGUAGCGGAGCCGCUUGGCCUGGGGUCGGGAGUUGUUUUUGCUCUUUUUGGGAUCAACCGCAAAAUAAAAUCAGAUCUGAAAUGAAGUAAGAGGACCCGCUGAACUUAA
rnacentral:misc_RNA from 1 species